rnacentral:rRNA from 1 species
UGAGGAAUUUUCGUCAAUGGGGGCAACCCUGAACGAGCAACGCCGCGUGCAGGAUGAAGGUUUUCGGAUCGUAAACUGCUUUUCUCUGGGACGAGAACGGACGGUACCAGAGGAAGAAGCCCCGGCUAACUACGUGCCAGCAGCCGCGGUAAUACGUAGGGGGCGAGCGUUAUCCGGAGUUACUGGGCGUAAAGCGCACGCAGGCGGUCAGAUCAGUCUGCCGUGACAGUCGUCGGCUUAACUGACGAAGUACGGUGGAAACUGUCUGACUUGAGGGCUUCAGAGGGACACGGAAUUCCGGGUGGAGUGGUGAAAUGCGUAGAUAUCCGGAGGAACACCGAUGGCGAAGGCAGUGUCCUGGGAAGUACCUGACGCUCAGGUGCGAAAGCUAGGGGAGCGAACAG